CGGAGGGGGCGAGCGUUGUCCGAAGUUACUGGGCGUAAAGCGCGCGUAGGCGGGUUGCUAAGUCCGCUGUGAAAGCCCGAGGCUCAACCUCGGAGGGUCGGUGGAUACUGGCAGCCUUGAAGGUGUAGGGGGAGAUGGAAUUACCGGUGUAGCGGUGAAAUGCGUAGAGAUCGGUAGGAACACCAGUGGCGAAGGCGGUCUCCUGGCCCACUCUUGACGCUGAGGCGCGAAAGCUGGGGGAGCGAACGGGAUUAGAUACCCCGGUAGUCCCAGCCCUAAACGAUGGAUACUAGGUGUCGGGGGUAUCGACCCCCCCGGUGCCGCCGCUAACGCAGUAAGUAUCCCGCCUGGGGAGUACGGCCGCAAGGUUG
rnacentral:rRNA from 1 species